rnacentral:rRNA from 1 species
CAGGAUGAACCGCUAGCGGCAGGCUUAACACAUGCAAGUCGAGGGGCAGCAUGUCCAGCAAUGGAUGAUGGCGACCGGCGGAAGGGUGCGUAACGCGUGAGCAACAUGCCCUAUACAGGGAGAUACACCAGGGAAACUUGGUCUAAUAUCCCAUAGCAUUCAUUGAAGGCAUCUUUAAUGAAUUAAAGCUUCGGUGGUAUAGGAUUGGCUCGCGUGACAUUAGCCAGAUGGUGAGGUAACGGCUCACCAUAGCAAUGAUGUCUAGGGGUUUUGAGAGGAAGGCCCCCCACACUGGGACUGAGACACGGCCCAGACUCCUACGGGAGGCAGCAGUGAGGAAUAUUGGACAAUGGAUGGAAAUCUGAUCCAGCCAUGCCGCGUGCAGGAAGACGGCCUUAUGGGUUGUAAACUGCUUUUAUACGGGAGCAAUAAGGGUUACGAGUAAUCCGAUGAGAGUACUGUAUGAAUAAGGAUCGGCUAACUCCGUGCCAGCAGCCGCGGUAAUACGGAGGAUCCGAGCGUUAUCCGGAAUUAUUGGGUUUAAAGGGUGCGUAGGCGGCCAUUUAAGUCAGCGGUGAAAUUUUGCAGCUUAACUGUAACAGUGCCGUUGAUACUGUUUGGCUAGGAUUUGGUUGUAGUGUGCGGAAUGUGUGGUGUAGCGGUGAAAUGCUUAGAUAUCACACAGAACACCGAUUGCGAAGGCAGCACACUAAGUCAUUAUUGACGCUGAGGCACGAAAGUGUGGGGAUCAAACAGGAUUAGAUACCCUGGUAGUCCACACUGUAAACGAUGAUAACUCGCUGUCGGCGAUACACAGUCGGGGCCAAGCGAAAGC